rnacentral:rRNA from 2 species
GUCGAGGGGUAACAGGAGUAGCUUGCUAUUUGCUGACGACCGGCGCACGGGUGCGUAACGCGUAUAGAAUCUACCUUAUACUGGGGGAUAGCCUUUGGAAACGAAGAUUAAUACCCCAUAGUAUUAUUUUUUGGCAUCAUUAAAUAAUUAAAGUUUCGGCGGUAUAAGAUGACUAUGCGUUCUAUUAGUUAGUUGGUAAGGUAACGGCUUACCAAGACUGCGAUAGAUAGGGGUCCUGAGAGGGAGAUCCCCCACACUGGUACUGAGACACGGACCAGACUCCUACGGGAGGCAGCAGUGAGGAAUAUUGGACAAUGGAGGCAACUCUGAUCCAGCCAUGCCGCGUGUAGGAAGACUGCCCUAUGGGUUGUAAACUACUUUUAUAUGGGAAGAAUAAGGUCUACGUGUAGACUGAUGACGGUACCAUAAGAAUAAGCACCGGCUAACUCCGUGCCAGCAGCCGCGGUAAUACGGAGGGUGCAAGCGUUAUCCGGAAUCAUUGGGUUUAAAGGGUCCGUAGGCGGGCAUAUAAGUCAGUGGUGAAAGUCUGUGGCUUAACCAUAGAAUUGCCAUUGAUACUGUAUGUCUUGAAUUAUUGUGAAGUGGUUAGAAUAUGUAGUGUAGCGGUGAAAUGCUUAGAGAUUACAUAGAAUACCGAUUGCGAAGGCAGAUCACUAACAAUAUAUUGACGCUGAUGGACGAAAGCGUAGGUAGCGAACAGGAUUAGAUACCCUGGUAGUCUACGCCGUAAACGAUGGAUACUAGUUGUUUGGCCUUCGGGCUGAGUGACUAAGCGAAAGUGAUAAGUAUCCCACCUGGGGAGUACGUUCGCAAGAAUGAAACUCAAAGGAAUUGACGGGGGCCCGCACAAGCGGUGGAGCAUGUGGUUUAAUUCGAUGAUACGCGAGGAACCUUACCAGGGCUUAAAUGUAGUCUGACAGCUUUAGAGAUAGAGUUUUCUUCGGACAGAUUACAAGGUGCUGCAUGGUUGUCGUCAGCUCGUGCCGUGAGGUGUCAGGUUAAGUCCUAUAACGAGCGCAACCCCUGUGGUUAGUUGCCAGCGAGUAAUGUCGGGAACUCUAGCCAGACUGCCGGUGCAAACCGUGAGGAAGGUGGGGAUGACGUCAAAUCAUCACGGCCCUUACGUCCUGGGCCACACACGUGCUACAAUGGUAGGGACAGAGAGCAGCCACUUAGCGAUAAGGAGCGAAUCUAUAAACCCUAUCUCAGUUCGGAUUGGAGUCUGCAACUCGACUCCAUGAAGCUGGAAUCGCUAGUAAUCGGAUAUCAGCCAUGAUCCGGUGAAUACGUUCCCGGGCCUUGUACACACCGCCCGUCAAGCCAUGGAAGCUGGGGGUACCUGAAGUCCGUCACCGUAAGGAGCGGCCUAGGGUAAAACUGGUAACUAGGGCUAAGUCGUAACAAUGUAACC